rnacentral:rRNA from 1 species
GACAGAGGGGGCAAGCGUUGCUCGGAAUCACUGGGCGUCCAGGGCGCGUCGGCGGGAUGGCAAGUCAGUCGUGAAAUCUCUCGGCUCAACCGAGAAACGUCGGCUGAUACUGCCGUUCUUGAGGGAUGCAGAGGAGACUGGAAUUCCCGGUGUAGCGGUGAAAUGUGUAGAGAUCGGGAGGAACACCGGUGGCGAAGGCGGGUCUCUGGGCAUUUCCUGACGCUGAGGCGCGAAAGCGUGGGGAGCAAACGGG